AGAGUUUGAUCCUGGCUCAGAUUGAACGCUGGCGGCAUGCCUUACACAUGCAAGUCGAACGGUAACAGGCCGCAAGGUGCUGACGAGUGGCGAACGGGUGAGUAAUGCAUCGGAACGUGCCCAGUCGUGGGGGAUAACUGCUCGAAAGAGCAGCUAAUACCGCAUACGACCUGAGGGUGAAAGCGGGGGACCGUAAGGCCUCGCGCGAUUGGAGCGGCCGAUGUCAGAUUAGCUAGUUGGUGGGGUAAAGGCCUACCAAGGCAACGAUCUGUAGUUGGUCUGAGAGGACGACCAGCCACACUGGGACUGAGACACGGCCCAGACUCCUACGGGAGGCAGCAGUGGGGAAUUUUGGACAAUGGGCGCAAGCCUGAUCCAGCAAUGCCGCGUGCAGGAAGAAGGCCUUCGGGUUGUAAACUGCUUUUGUCAGGGAAGAAAUCUUCUGGGCUAAUACCCCGGGAGGAUGACGGUACCUGAAGAAUAAGCACCGGCUAACUACGUGCCAGCAGCCGCGGUAU
rnacentral:rRNA from 1 species